AGCAGCCGCGGUAAUUCCAGCUCCAAUAGCGUAUAUUAAAGUUGUUGCAGUUAAAAAAGCUCGUAGUUGAAUUUCGGGAUUAGUGCGCUGGUCAUGCCUUUGGUAUGUACUGGUGUUACUGGUUCCUACCUUCUGAAGAACCGUCGUGUCAUUAAUUUGGUGUGGUGGGGGAAUCAGGACUGUUACUUUGAAAAAAAUUAGAGUGUUUAAAGCAGGCUCGCGCUUGAAUACAUUAGCAUGGAAUAAUGAAAUAGGACGUUUGACCCUAUUUUUGUUGGUUUCUAGGAUCGACGUAAUGAUUAAUAGGGAUAGUUGGGGGGCAUUAGUAUUCAAUUGUCAGAGGUGAAAUUCUUGGAUUUAUUGAAGACUAACUACUGCGAAAGCAUUUGCCAAGGAUGUUUUCAUAAUUCAAGAACGAAAGUUAGGGGAUCGAAGACGAUCAGAUACCGUCGUAGUCUUAACCAU
rnacentral:rRNA from 1 species